rnacentral:rRNA from 1 species
UAAUAGCGUAUAUUAAAGUUGUUGCAGUUAAAAGCUCGUAGUCGGAUGUCGGGCUCGGGCAGGCUGUCGGCUUCGGUCGGACGGCAGGCUCGGGUCUUUCUGCCUGAGGAUCCCGUUGCACUUAAUUGUGGGCGUGGGACGCAGGCCGUUUACUUUUGAAAAAUUAGAGUGUUCAAAGCAGGCCUACGCUUGAAUACAUUAGCAUGGAAUAAUGGAAUAGGACUUUGGUGCUAUUUUGUUGGUUUAUGGGACCGAAGUAAUGAUUAACAGGGACAGUUGGGGCCGUUUAUAUUUCGUUGUCAGAGGUGAAAUUCUUGGAUUUUGUUAAAAGACGGACUACUGCGAAAGCAUUUGCCAAGGAUGUUUUCAUUGAUCAAGAACGAAAGUUAGGGGAUCGAAGAUGAUCAGAUACC